CCUAAUUGAGAUUUUAACUUUAAACUUUUAAAAUUAAAAUUUAUUAGGAUCUGCUUGAUUUGUAUAAAUGAAAAUUACACAUAUAAUACAAAAUUAUAAAUUGGCCAAUACUUUUUAGUACACAAUUGGAUUUGUGCAAUCUCAAUUAAAAUGGUGACUAUAUUUGGAAUAAUGUGAAGUAGUUGUUGAUUAUAAUUUAUAAUAAAAUCAGUUAACUUUAUCAAAUUGCCCCUAAAAAGUCAACAAUUAAUUAAUUAUUCAUUUUAAGUUAUCUUAUAAGCAACUUAAUGUAAGCUCACA
rnacentral:lncRNA from 1 species